rnacentral:rRNA from 1 species
ACUCAAAGGAAUAGACGGGGGCCCGCACAAGCGGUGGAGCAUGUGGUUUAAUUCGACGCAACGCGAAGAACCUUACCUGGGCUCGAACGGCUUCAGACCAUUCUUGGAAACAGGGAUUUCCCGCAAGGGACUGGAGUCGAGGUGCUGCAUGGCUGUCGUCAGCUCGUGUCGUGAGAUGUUGGGUUAAGUCCCGCAACGAGCGCAACCCUUGUCCUGUGUUGCUAACCGAAAGGUGCACUCUCAGGAGACCGCCAGCGAUAAGCUGGAGGAAGGUGGGGAUGACGUCAAGUCAUCAUGGCCUUUAUGUCCAGGGCUACACACGUGCUACAAUGGACGGUACAAAGCGCUGCUAAGCCGCGAGGUGGAGCUAAUCGCAAAAAACCGUUCUCAGUUCGGAUUGCAGGCUGCAACUCGCCUGCAUGAAGCUGGAAUCGCUAGUAAUGGCGUAUCAGAACGACGCCGUGAAUACGUUCCCGGGCCUUGCACACACCGCCCGU